rnacentral:tRNA from 1 species
GGUUCUAUGGUGUAAUGGUCAGCACUCUGGACUUUGAAUCCAGCGAUCCGAGUUCAAGUCUCGGUAGAACCU